UAAGGAUCUUCCGCAAUGGGCGAAAGCCUGACGGAGCGACGCCGCGUGGACGAUGGAGGCCGUGAGGUUGUAAAGUCCUUUUCCGUGGGGUGAAGAGCCGUGCCAGGGAAUGGGUGCGGGGUGACGUGACCACGGGAAUAAGCCCCGGCUAACUACGUGCCAGCAGCCGCGGUAACACGUAGGGGGCGAGCGUUGUUCGGAAUCAUUGGGCGUAAAGGGCGCGCAGGCGGCUGCGGGAGCCCGGCGUGAAAUCCACAGGCCCAACCUGUGGGGGUCGCCGGGGACUCCGCGGCUGGAGUCCAGGAAGCGGUUCAGGAAUUCCCGGUGUAGGGGUGAAAUCUGUAGAUAUCGGGAAGAACACCAAUGGCGAAGGCGUGGGCCGGGCCAUGGACUGACGCUGAGGCGCGAAGGUGCGGGGAGCGAAC
rnacentral:rRNA from 1 species